UUCUGGCUCAGGAUGAACGCUAGCUACAGGCUUAACACAUGCAAGUCGAGGGGCAGCAUGGUCUUAGCUUGCUAAGACUGAUGGCGACCGGCGCACGGGUGAGUAACGCGUAUCCAACCUUCCCCCUGGUAGGGCAUAGCCCGGCGAAAGUCGGAUUAAUACCCUAUGUUAUCCGAAGAGGACAUCUGAUUCGGAUCAAAGAUUUAUCGCCAUGGGAUGGGGAUGCGUCCGAUUAGGUUGACGGCGGGGUGACGGCCCACCGUGCCCGCGAUCGGUAGGGGUUCUGAGAGGAAGGUCCCCCACAUUGGAACUGAGACACGGUCCAAACUCCUACGGGAGGCAGCAGUGAGGAAUAUUGGUCAAUGGGCGUAAGCCUGAACCAGCCAAGUAAGCGUGCGGGACGACGGCCCUAUGGGUUGUAAACCGCUUUUGCAGGGGAAUAAAGUGAGGCACGCGUGCCUUUUUGCAUGUACCCUGAGAAUAAGGACCGGCUAAUUCCGUGCCAGCCGCCGC
rnacentral:rRNA from 1 species